rnacentral:rRNA from 1 species
GUCAGAACGAACGCUGGCGGCGUGCUUAACACAUGCAAGUCGAACGCGAAAGGGACUUCGGUCCUGAGUAAAGUGGCGCACGGGUGAGUAACGCGUAGAUAACCUGUCUUCAUGUCUGGAAUAAUACGCCGAAAGGGGUACUAAUACCGGAUAUUCUUGCUUUUCAUAAGUUAUGCAAGCAAAGGUGGCCUCUGCAUAUGCUACUGCAUGAAGAGGGGUCUGCGUACCAUUAGCUAGUAGGUGGGGUAAUGGCCUACCUAGGCGACGAUGGUUAGCGGGUCUGAGAGGAUGAUCCGCCACACUGGCACUGGAACACGGGCCAGACUCCUACGGGAGGCAGCAGUGAGGAAUAUUGCGCAAUGGGGGAAACCCUGACGCAGCGACGCCGCGUGAGUGAGGAAGGCCUUCGGGUCGUAAAGCUCUGUCAAGAGGAAAGAAGUGUACAAUGGCUAAUACCUGUUGUAUUUGACGGUACCUCUAAAGGAAGCACCGGCUAACUCCGUGCCAGCCGCCGC